rnacentral:rRNA from 1 species
UGCGUAGGGUGCGAGCGUUAAUCGGAAUUACUGGGCGUAAAAGCGCGCGUAGGCGGCUUUUGCAAGUCGGGUGUGAAAUCCCCAGGCUUAACCUGGGAACUGCAUUCGAGACUGCAUUGCUAGAGUAUGGGAGAGGGAAGUGGAAUUUCAGGUGUAGCGGUGAAAUGCGUAGAUAUCUGAAGGAACAUCAGUGGCGAAAGCGACUUCCUGGACCAAUACUGACGCUCAUGUGCGAAAGCGUGGGGAGCAAACAGG